CCUACGGGAGGCAGCAGUAGGGAAUCUUCCACAAUGGGCGAAAGCCUGAUGGAGCAACGCCGCGUGUGUGAUGAAGGCUUUCGGGUCGUAAAGCACUGUUGUAUGGGAAGAACAGCUAGAAUAGGAAAUGAUUUUAGUUUGACGGUACCAUACCAGAAAGGGACGGCUAAAUACGUGCCAGCAGCCGCGGUAAUACGUAUGUCCCGAGCGUUAUCCGGAUUUAUUGGGCGUAAAGCGAGCGCAGACGGUUUAUUAAGUCUGAUGUGAAAGCCCGGAGCUCAACUCCGGAAUGGCAUUGGAAACUGGUUAACUUGAGUGCAGUAGAGGUAAGUGGAACUCCAUGUGUAGCGGUGGAAUGCGUAGAUAUAUGGAAGAACACCAGUGGCGAAGGCGGCUUACUGGACUGCAACUGACGUUGAGGCUCGAAAGUGUGGGUAGCAAACAGGAUUAGAUACCCUGGUAGUCCACACCGUAAACGAUGAACACUAGGUGUUAGGAGGUUUCCGCCUCUUAGUGCCGAAGCUAACGCAUUAAGUGUUCCGCCUGGGGAGUACGACCGCAAGGUUGAAACUCAAAGGAAUUGACGG
rnacentral:rRNA from 1 species